rnacentral:rRNA from 1 species
ACUCCUGCGGGAGGCAGCAGUGGGGAAUCUUGCGCAAUGGGCGAAAGCCUGACGCAGCCAUGCCGCGUGAAUGAUGAAGGUCUUAGGAUUGUAAAAUUCUUUCACCGGGGACGAUAAUGACGGUACCCGGAGAAGAAGCCCCGGCUAACUUCGUGCCAGCAGCCGCGGUAAUACGAAGGGGGCUAGCGUUGCUCGGAAUUACUGGGCGUAAAGGGAGCGUAGGCGGACAUUUAAGUCAGGGGUGAAAUCCCGGGGCUCAACCUCGGAAUUGCCUUUGAUACUGGGUGUCUUGAGUAUGAGAGAGGUGUGUGGAACUCCGAGUGUAGAGGUGAAAUUCGUAGAUAUUCGGAAGAACACCAGUGGCGAAGGCGACACACUGGCUCAUUACUGACGCUGAGGCUCGAAAGCGUGGGGAGCAAACAGGAUUAGAUACCCCGGUAGUCCCAUG